UAAUAGAACGUUAAUUCUUUUGAUACUUAACCUACAAAAUAUUUUUUACCUCAAAUAUACAAUUUUUGAUUUUCGGUGCAAAAUUCAUAUGAAAAUAAAGUGCUCUCAUUGAUUUUAUAAAAGCACUAUCUUAGCGCUAUGCCCAUGGUAUUGACCUCCAACAUUUACUUUUCUAAAUGUAGCCUAUAGGCCUACAAAAUACUAAUUUAUGGGUAUGCAUUUCUCUACAAAUAUAACGAAGCUUUUAUCAGAUUCUAUAUGUGUUGUUCCUUUAUAAAUAUCCACAGUAGGUGUAAAACUGUGUCCAGAAAGCGCUCAGGAAGUGCUUACGCCAAGCGCUAACUUGUUCCUGGGUGCGCAAUUGGUUCUGCAUGUGCGUAGUACUUUUACAACUCUUUUUGGUAAAGGUAAUUUGUAGGGGUAUUUCCUUAAAACUGGCACCCUCAUGUCACAUAAAAAUGCUCGACAAAUAUUCACCCGACUGAAGCGACUCACUAUAUUGAGUCCCCGGGGUGUUCACAAUACUUAAGAACCGCCUCCUUGUUUAAAGUCGUUCGUGCCAUAAAUGUAUGCGUGACAUGUCGGCGGGCAUGUUGAGUCGUUCAUCGAGCCAUGCCACCCACCCCCGGGGGGAGGGGUUAACCGUGAGGAAUUAACGAUACGGCCGAUUACACCGAGCCUCAUCCUCGAACUCGCCAUUCGCGUCGGUGUUCUUGCAUGGUGCAGCAGUGUUCUUGAAGAGCGGAAAAGUGUGCUUGCAGUUGGACGGAUCGCCACAUAGGGCCAAGCCUAAGCUGCAAACCAUCAUUCUUUAGGUAAGUAGGCCCAUUUACAUCCAUUUUAAUUAUUAUAAAGCAGAUUAAAGUGAAAUUCUUGUCCCUAGGCCCUUAGAGGAAUAGGUCGGGUGUUAAUAUCAGUUUGAAUUAAUGAUUUUUAAAAAAUUAUCACUUUGAGUUACAUUGGGGUUAUGCCUUUGGCUUUGCUUUGAAGCAUUUGCAAAUAUGACACUAGGUGGCUGAAAUCAGUGAUGACCAAGGACUAAUGGACGAGAUAGUCGAUUUAAUGUGCAACAAGUCUGGACAAGCUUUUUUUUUUUCUUUUUCCAGGACACCCUAAUACCUAUUUUAUUUUCAUUAUGGUACAAGUCAAAUAUGGUUAUGGGACAGAAACAGCUGGGUCCAUGAGCCGAAUUUCCUGGCAGUGCUGACACCUUACGGCGUGAUAUCACGAGAGACCAGAGAACGGAGGCAUAGGUUCAUAUUUAUUUUAUUUAGUUACUAUAAUCAAGUUAAAUUUCAUGCAAGUCUAAGGAAAACCAGAUUCAUACAAAAGUCAAUGUGCUGUAGAUUUUGUUCUGCGCCCGUUUAAGGCACUAAUGACUCCAGAAAUGCAUCCUAUCAGACAGGAGUUUGCCAGCUUGUUUGGAUUGAAAACAAAAUGGCAAUGGCAUUUUCGGUGGUAUUUCAAGGAUUUUACAUACUUAACAAUGAGGUAACAAUCGGCAACUAACCAAAAUAAAGGUAAUACAGAUCUUAGAAUAGUCCUAGAAUUUGAGAUGGGAAAACGUAAGGUUGCGUCAGCCUGUUAAAUUUUCCGUUUUUGAGUAAAUCCAUUACCUAAUGAAGACUUGGUAAUUUAACUUUGAUACUAUAGGCGAGUGUUUUUAAAAAAAGGGGGAGGUUAUCAUUCAUCAAUGUUAUCAGACCUUAUUUUUCAUAUAUUCCUAGGUUAACACAAAAAUCUUUCAUUAGUGAAAAAACUACAUACAAUGAUUUGUUUCUUCAGUUCCCAUAUGUAUUCAAAAUUCUUACGUGCAGAUAUCAUGGGCAAGAGAGAGCUGCUUACACGAGGGAAUAUCAGAAAAGAAGAAUGGAAUUCUUACGUGCUUGUCAAAACACAGCCAAUAGUCUUGGAGACAAAGAUAAUUCCUCAACAUCAGAUCAUACUGAGAACUCCACCUAUGCUGCUGAUGUUAAUGAUGUGGAAACAAACUCCAAUUUGGAGAUUGACCAGCCAACAAAGAGGCGCAAAAUGAACAAAGGAGGAGAUUGGGACAGACCUGCACUAAAGAAAACAACCGAGCAGACGUGUCAGACGUGCCUAUGAGGAAAGUCCUAACAAUCUAUACCACUCCUCAGCCCAAACCCAGUAGUGUGGGUCCAACCCACACAACACCAAAGUCUGGGACAUCCAGGAGGAUAGAAUACAAAACAGCAGCGAGGACGUCAGAAUGGUCACAGAAGAAGGACCAAAGACCACAAAGAGAGAUGGAUAUUGCCAGUAAGGAAAAAAAAGAAUGGUUAAAUUUAAGCAUUGGGAAGGACACAUCUUGGACAAAUGUCCGAGAUCAAAGAGAUGUUGCGGUCACCAUCAACACGCCUGUCCAAUUUGUAGGAGAAAGGGAAGGGUACUAGCAUAUCUGAUGCUUUGAGAAUUCUGCCGCAACCACUGGAAACAAAGGAGGAGGUUGACACAUUGGAAGACAUGGUCUCCAACAGUGAGGCAAGCUGGAGUGCAGUGCUGACUGUGUGGUGAGCAGCACUUGAGAUGGUCCUGUCCACCUGGGCUUGUUCCACUUCGUCCUUCUGAAGUCCUUUAUCACCACCCAGUCACCAGGUUUCAGGUCAUGCAGUGGGCCCAGCGCCAGAACUGGUUGAUGUGCUGUCCCAGGUUGGCGGACCAAAUCCUGCCCGCCUGGCUGUCAACAUAGUGAACCGAAUGAUGAAACAUAAAGCACAACUGCAUUUCAACAUUAGAGGGACAGGCCAGAAGAAGCCAUCAAAUUGGCCUUCCUGAUGGAGAGGGCCAAUUUAGCUAAAGUUGUCCACAUGACCAUCGUGGACACACUAUGUUCAGCUGGAGCACUAGGCCUUUGGAGGAUACCUACAUACUUGAUAUUUAUUUUGGAAAUUGAUGUGUUUAUCCCAAGAUAUUCAGUGUAAACCCCAAAAACUGACGAUGCUGUUUUAUGAAUGGAAUGAAAGUUUGGUAUGU